rnacentral:rRNA from 1 species
UACGUAGGGGGCUAGCGUUAUCCGGAAUUACUGGGCGUAAAGGGUGCGUAGGUGGUUUCUUAAGUCAGAGGUGAAAGGCUACGGCUCAACCGUAGUAAGCCUUUGAAACUGGGAAACUUGAGUGCAGGAGAGGAGAGUGGAAUUCCUAGUGUAGCGGUGAAAUGCGUAGAGAUAUGGAGGAACGCCAGUGGCGAAGGCGGCUUCCUGGUCUGUAACUGACACUGAGGCGCGAAAGCGUGGGGAGCAAACAGGAUUAGAUACCCUGGUAGUCCCUGAG